rnacentral:tRNA from 1 species
AUACACUAGGCUUAUGGUUAGGGUAUUCGACUCAUGAUCGUAAGGUCGUGAGUUCGAUUUUCGGCAGUGUGUU